CACAGCUAACUAGUGACAGAGGUGGAGUUGAAGCAAUUCUAUUUGAUGACAAAACUUGUACUUUUAACCAUUAGGCUAUACCCUUAGAAACAUUUGCUUUUCAGUAUGUACCCAAUGAAAUAAGAUAAAAUAAAUCUUUAAUAUCUCCAGUUAAAUUUCCGCUUGGUUUGAAUAAUCCAACUUGCCUUUUGUGUUUCUAAGUGGUUAGUGUGGUUUGUAGCAAUACGGCCAGCAGAGAGAACCGGCAGACAGUCAUCAUGAAGAAGGCCAGAGCUCACGAGGAAGGCCCCAGCACUCAUCUGCUGUCUCCUCCAUGGUUAAUCAAUGCCAUGGACCGCAAGUCGUGGACCUGCCUUAGAGAAUUUGGUCUGUUGGAACAAGCUGGAUGAUGCAGAGCAGACAGUGAGGGGGUUGUGGGCAGAGCUCUUGCAUUCAUGUUUCCCACUGUGUGCCUGAUGGGCAGCACUUUGGCAGGCUUUUCAUGAGUCCACAUUCCAGAGGCACUAUAUCUUUAUGAGACACAACUUCCAUCUACCCUUGCAAAUGAUAUUACAAGGUACUGGCCCAGAAGCCCACAGUUCUAGAAGAGGAAUCUAAUUGGCUCAGCUUGAGUUAUCUGUCUAUUCUUCAUCCUCUACGCUGUCGCCACCUGGGCCAACUUCUUCUCCAGUGUUGCAGAUGGGCAAGCAUAGCACACCAGGUCUGCAAGCCUUUCAUUUUAAAGGAUUACACAGGCCCUUCCCAUGAAGCAUCAAGAGAAAAACUGCACACGAGACACAGCAUGGGAUAUGUAAGUGUGGCAUUUGUUUCAAAUUGUCUG
rnacentral:lncRNA from 1 species